ensembl:snoRNA
GGCACUUGUGUGUAUUUUUGUCUUAAUUUGGGGACUAAAACUUAAUGAACAGGUGUAAAAAAUAAAUCGUCUUUCGCAACCCAGAGCUCAUUGUUCGGUAUGAGUUUUGAGACAUAGGAGAAAGAAUUUU